AGUUCGCCAAGCAAUAGUACAGACCUCGUCUGGUCUACAACGGUGCGCUGCAGUUCAUCUAGCGGUUUUAGACGUCGCGAAGAGUAGUGAACCUGGAGCUGUAUCUUCAAAGGCAAGGACCAACCACCAAGGUUCACGGGAGGGGGGAUGUUGCGACGAUACCCCUCGUUGCAGUAGCGUAUACCAGUGUUGAAGCGUACCGAACGUCGAACAGCUACCUAUACUGGACAUACAAACGUCAACGAGAUAGACAAUGAUAAGGCAAUUUGGAUUGUAAAACACUCAGCAUUAUCGAAACCCAAAAUUUUGCAAGUUUAUUAAAAAGCAUUUUUUUUAUUGAUUCUGUGGCGAAAUUGAAGCAUAAAAUUAGCAGUCUGUGCCUGAUUCGUGAAUUAAUUCGUAGGGCGAACAGAUAGUGAGUAGAUGGAAAUAUGCAGAUUAGAGAGCAAAUCUCAUUGUCGAAACACUAACUAAUGUUUUCUUAAAUUAUAUUACGUUAUAGCUGGCUAAAACUUAAAAACUAAAUCACAGGCUAAUCUUUGGUUUGUUCAUAAAAAGUAAAAGAUAAAGAUUGUACCGUAUUGCUGAUUUGCUGCACCUAGGGUGGUCGUGAAACGAUCCUUGUCUACCGAGUUGAUCACCAAAAUUGUAGGUAUGAAUAGAACACUGUAAAAUCAAUGUUUAAAAAUGAAUUAAAUUAUAGCUUGAAGCUGUGUCAGCA